rnacentral:pre_miRNA from 1 species
UACAUACUCCCUCCAUUCGGAAUUACUCGUCCAAGAAAUGAAUGUAUCUAGAUGUAUUUUAGUUGUAGAUACAUCCAUUUUUGUGACAAGUAAUUCCAAACGGAGGGAGUACUAC